rnacentral:rRNA from 1 species
UAAAUCUAGGAUUAGAUACCCUAUUAUAAUAAAUAAUAAAAUAUAUUUUAAUAGGAUAUUAAAUGUUAUAACAUUAAAUUUAAUAGAUUUGGCGGUAUUUUAUAAAAUUAGAGGAAUCUGUAAAAUAAUUGAUAAUCCACGAUAAGAAAAACUUAUUAAAAAUAUUUAUGUAUUGCUGUUUUAAAAAUUUUAUUAAGUAAAAUUUUAAAUUUAUUAUAUAAAUAUAAUUCAAGUCAAAAUAUAGUUUAUGUAAGAAAUUUAUGGAUUACAUUUUUUUAUUAAUAAUGGUUAUUUAAAUUUAAUUUUAAAUAUAAAUUGGAUUUAAUAGUAAAAUUGAUAAAUUAAUUAAUUUGAAUAAAUUUUGAAAAUUUAUAAAAUAUGUACAAAUUGCCCGUCACUUUCAAUAAAAUGAAAUAAGUCGUAACAUAGUUUAGAUACUGGAAAGUGUUUAUAGAUAAUAUAGAUA